rnacentral:lncRNA from 1 species
CUUCGUUCUCCUAUAAUGUAUAUAAACAGUACAUACAUGAGUAUGAAAACAAUGUAUAUAUGCGUGCAUGCAUAGAAAGGAACAGCUUGGCAUAACAAAACUUUCUACAUAAAACAUUACUUCUGAGCAAUAUCGAACAAAAUAAAAAUCUCGAUUCAUGCAGUUUAUUACAGGAGACUUCUGAUCCUGUAAGCAAAGCCUCCAAAAUGUUUACCCUUUUCCCAAGACUGCAUUCCAACCUGAAAUAUCAGGGUAUCUUCAUCUUCCCCCUGUGAUGAUCAGCACCCCGGAGUUGAGCAGCCGGUUUCUGAAGGAGCUGGAGCAUCCCAGCCCAGAUGGGACCUCACCAUCAGAUGGAUGGAAGAGCCGCAACUGCUUGCAAAGUGCUUAUGUUGUUCACUGCAUGCAUAAUACAGGCUAGUUGCCAAGAUUAAUUGCCCUGCAGUGAACAUGAAACCUUUCUUGUUGGAGCAAGAGUGGCUGAAGUACCUUUCCUGGGCCCCGCGUAUUGACCUGGCAGUCAUGCAGAUAGUGUGUGUGUGUGUCUGUG